UACAGAGGUCUCAAGCGUUGUUCGGAUUCAUUGGGCGUAAAGGGUGCGUAGGUGGCGCUGUAAGUCGGGUGUGAAAUUUCGGAGCUUAACUCCGAAACUGCAUUCGAUACUGCGGUGCUUGAGGACUGGAGAGGAGACUGGAAUUCAUGGUGUAGCAGUGAAAUGCGUAGAGAUCAUGAGGAAGACCAGUGGCGAAGGCGGGCCUCUGGACAGUUCCUGACACUGAGGCACGAAGGCCAGGGAGCAAACGGG
rnacentral:rRNA from 1 species